rnacentral:misc_RNA from 1 species
GGUGAAGAACGCAGCGAAAUGCGAUAAGUAAUGUGAAUUGCAGAAUUCAGUGAAUCAUCGAAUCUUUGAACGCACAUUGCGCCCGCCAGUAUUCUGGCGGGCAUGCCUGUUCGAGCGUCAUUUCAACCAUCAAGCCCCAGGCUUGUGUUGGGGACCUGCGGCUGCCGCAGGCCCUGAAAACCAGUGGCGGGCUCGCUGUCACACCGGGCGUAGUAGAUUUUAUCUCGCUCAGGGCGUGCUGCGGGUUCCGGCCGUUAAAAAGCCUUUUUUACCCAAGGUUGACCUCGGAUCAGGUAGGAAGACCCGCUGAACUUAAGCAUAUCAAUAAGCGGAGGA